UUUGUAAGAUUUCCACCUGCGCUUCUUUGUUCAUCUUAUCCAGUGAAAGAGAAGGUGGAACGGGGACAGCGGCGGCUGGGCUCUCGUCAGCGCGGAAGGUGUCCGGCUCUCCCCUCCGCCUCCGGCCCUCUCGGCCUCUCCUCGGCCUCCGGCGUCCCCGGUCCCUCGAUCCUUUAUUCAAAAAAAAAAAAAUGCCUACAUCUUAUCCAGAUGCUGUCGGUCCUUGACCUGCCGUCUGUCCGGCACGGCGGCAUCCUUGUCGGCGGCGGAGACGGCAUCCUUGUCGGCGGCGGAGACAGCUACAGAUGCAGAGGAGGAUGAGAAGGCGUCCGCCGUGCCUUGCGCGGGAGGACGGAGGACGCCUCGCCUGGGCGUGUGCUCGGUGAGGGGCGGCGCCCUUGCCGGCGUUGCCGGCGGCGGAGACGGCUUCUGCUGCGCGGCGGGCUGGAGCAUGGGGGGUAGUUGUCGGGCAACAUGAGGAGGCAGAGGCGGCCAAGGCAAUGAGGCACGGCGUCGGCUAGCCAAGGGGCGGCCGGAGCAGAGGACGUCCACUUCCCCAGUCUGCGCACUCAUCACGGCAAGGCUAAUUCGAGUUAGCAACUUGGAGUAAUCACGUUCUCUCUAAUACUGUGUGCAGACCUAUCAUGUUUUCUGAAUUUCUGCCUGCAGCCCAAGUGCUACCAUGUUCCCUGAUAAAUUUCUUACUCUGAAUUUUUAUGUGCUUCCAUGUUCUGUACAUGUACAUGUACUCUGAAAUUCAUUCUAUCUUGUGCAGUCAGUAUUGGGUGUAUACUCAUGACUUCCAAAGCGCCACUUGAUGUAAAAAAUCAUAUGCACAAUGCUGCAAGCUUGGCUAAAGGUGGAUCUUUUUGCGAUCCUAUAUAGCAUGUUGUUGGACGUGGCCGGGUUUUUUGUUGGUAAUUGUUGCGGGAGCAAGCAAAGGAGCCUGGCUUGGUACAUAUGGGUUAAUUGUUCUUGAUCAAUUGUCGUGCGUUAAUUGUUAGGUCUGGUAACAUCCUGCUCCCCUGUCUGAUUUGGGUUGAAUUCAUGACCGUGGCCUUCUCCAACAGAAAUCAGUGGAGUGCCCAACCCGGAUUGAAUUUCGCUGCUAUAAGAAGGAAGGGUCCUUGGCCGGAAUCUCCAUCAGGUUGCGUACUUGGACCAGAAAAUCCAUCAAAUCCCGGAGUACUUGGACCAGAAAAGCAUCGUGUCGCCUUCAAGUUCGCCGGAGGAAGAAGUGCCGAGUUUGCCGGAGGUAGAAGAACAUCCGUCGAGCCGUCCAAUAUCGCCAACGGCGGGCUACACCAGAGGUUUUUUUCGUGACUAAUAAUAAGGGUUGGAUGAAGCAAAUCAGACACACUUCUAAGACCCCCCUCUCCAGCGACGGCGGAGCACGGGCAGGUGAGGGGCGGCGCCCUUGUCGCGACCUCCGACCCACCUCGUCGCCGACCCUCCCCGUCCUCUUCUCCCACCUUGCAGCUCCGACCUCGCCACGCCCUGCAUCUGAGUCCCCGCUGUGUACGAGGAGAAGGCGGCGAGCUGGCAACACCCGUAGUGCUGGGAGUGGCGAUGCCGCCGCGGCGCUAGAUGCGGGAGGCCCGUGCACAGCGGCGCCAGUGCAGCCGCUCCAGGUGGCCGACGUUGUGGCCGUGGAGAUGCACGUUGGGCUCGCCUCUGAGGGCGCGGGAGCAGCUCGGUGUGCUAUGCCACCCGCACGGCUACUACAGGUGGCCGACAUCAUGUCCGUGGAGAUGCACGCAGGGGUCGCCUCCAAGUGCGCGGGAGCAAGGUCGAGAUGGUCAUCAACUAUGGCGAUUCUCUCCCGCCAAGGUCCAAUCCUUCCCCGUUCAGAUCUGGAAGUCCGGCCUUAGCCCGGGUAGCUCUCGUGGAAGGGAUACACCACGAGCCCUGAUUUGAUCUGGCGAUAGCGGCACAACAAAAUUCAGGUAGCUCUGGCAGUGGCAUGACCAUAACCACAGUCCGGAGGAUUAGCUCCUUAUACUUGCUGUCUACAGAUUCCUCUCCCAAGUAUUAGCAGGGGUAGUCGCUCCGGACGAUCAGGAGAAAGGAGCUGAGGUCCAUGCACAUAAUGACAUUGCUCUUUAUAUAUAAAAAAAGAGUGACAUUUCUGAAUCUUUUUAUGUGAUAAUUAUUGGUCUAUAGCUGUGCAUUGCUUACCUCCUUUUCUUUUUGUAGUUGUGCAUUGCUUAUCUAACAUUAUGUAGUUGUAUAACUGAUGUAACAGAUUACAAACUAGAGGUGGGGCUACCGAGGUUGGGAGGGGGACCGGUGAAACUCAACUGUAACGUUUGCGCGGAUGCGCAACAUGAUUUAGAUAGCCAAGACGGGGGAGGUUCUUAAGAGUCGAGGAUGAUGAUUAGAGGUACUCUAUGAAGUAUGAGAAGGAUGGGGAGAUGGAGAGAGUCCUCAAGAAGACUGCGCUGAUUGGGAAGUUAGAGGUAAUGAGGUAGGCGCUGGGGAAUAAUUUAUGUGCGUACUAUGUUUGCGAGAACAUUCGCAUGACGACGUCCGAAAGGAGCACAUCGGACAAAGCACUUUGGAUGCAAGAGAAGCGGGAUAAGCUCCUACCAGCAGAUCGUGUAUGAGUAAUUCAAGAGGAAAUAGCAGGAUUUUUGCUCGACGAGGUUAUAAAUCCCAAAGGAGAAUACCAUUACAAGCUGUAAUGGCUCCAUGUAAUGAUCUAUUUUUAGGGGCAUCUACAUGAAUCCCAUGCAUGGCUUUGCGGCAUGCAAGUCUUUCCUGCUAGACAAGCAAGAAAACAGAGCCAUCACGCUUGCCCUACUGUAGCAGCCUUCAAAGCACCACAGAAUGUGGGCUCUCUCAAUGUCAGUUCAUUAGCUGAGCUGAUCUCACAUGCUAACAUCAUGUAAUCUUUUUUCUACAUUGCACAUUUAUCAGUUGGAUUAUAUCGUAGACUGCAGUUCAGAUCA